GCCAGAGAUAUUUUUAAAGUUUGAAUAAAUAUCUUCCAGCUUCUUCCAUUCACCCCUGUAGUAUCUAAUUCAGCUCACAAUAACAACCAUGGGGAUGCACACAGACGACGAUUCGCAUGAUCUCAAGCGCGUCAAAUACGACGGCGACGACGACGGUGAUUACGCCGAUGUAGACGACGACGACAGUUCAGGUUUGAGAUUAGGCGAUUUUUUAAAUCCAAUGAUUCCGACUUCAAUUGUGGUUUCGGAUGCUAUGGAACCAGAUUUUCCGGUAAUUUAUGUUAAUAAGGUGUUCGAAUACGUCACCGGUUAUCGCGCCGAUGAAGUCCUUGGCCGGAACUGUCGUUUCUUGCAGUACAGAGACCCCCGAGCGCAAAGGCGGCACCCGUUGGUGGAUCCUGUUUGUGUUUCAGAGAUCAGAACAUGUUUAGAUGAAGGUAUUCAUUUCCAAGGGGAGCUUCUCAACUUCAGAAAAGACGGUACUCCUCUGGUUAACCGGCUAAGACUCACUCCCAUACAUGGUGAUGAUGGUGUAAUUACACAUAUUAUAGGCAUUCAGGUGUUUACGGAAACGAAAAUUGAUCUGAAUAGUGUGUCAUACCCUGUUUUUAAAGAAACUGCUAGUAAUCAACCAACUGCACGUGAAUCGGAGUAUACAGAAGGUCCGGAGAUGUGUGGGAUUCUUCAACUGUCUGAUGAUGUAAUGGCUCAGAACAUUUUGUCACGGUUGACUCCUAGAGAUGUAGCUUCUAUUGGAUCUGUUUGUAGAAGAAUCCGGCAGCUUACGAAGAACGAGCAUGUUAGAAAAAUGGUGUGUCAGAAUGCUUGGGGAAGAGAAGUGACGUGCGCGUUGGAACGCAUGACAAACAAGCUAGGUUGGGGUCGUCUUGCUCGUGAACUCACCACUCUUGAAGCUGUUUGUUGGAAGAAACUCAGAGUCGGUGGAGCAGUCGAGCCGUCACGUUGCAAUUUCAGUGCAUGUGCUGCUGGUAACCGGUUAGUAUUGUUUGGUGGGGAAGGGGUUAACAUGCAACCGAUGGAUGAUACGUUUGUUCUCAAUCUUGAUGCUGUGAAUCCAGAAUGGCGGCAGGUUCGUGUGAAGUCGGCUCCACCGGGUCGGUGGGGCCACACACUCACGUGCCUCAACGGUUCUUGGUUAGUGGUGUUUGGUGGGUGUGGGAAACAAGGAAUGCUGAAUGAUGUGUUUGUUCUUGAUCUAGACGCCAAACAACCGACAUGGAUAGAAGUGUAUGGUGGCGGUCCGCCGCCGCCAAGAUCUUGGCACAGCUCGUGCACAAUAGAAGGGUCAAAGCUAGUGGUUUCAGGUGGGUGCACUGCCGCAGGAGUUCUUCUCAACGACACCUUUUUACUCGAUCUCACAAUGGAGAAACCAGUGUGGAGAGAGAUUCCAACUUCGUGGGUGCCACCGUCUCGUUUGGGACAUUCGCUCUCGGUUUACGGGAGGACUAAGAUUUUAAUGUUUGGCGGGCUUGCUAAGAGUGGUCAUUUAAGGUUAAGAUCGAGUGAGGCGUACACUAUCGAUCUGGUGGACGAGAAACCGCAAUGGCGGGUUUUGGAAUGCAAUGCGUUUACAGGGGUAGGGACACAGAGUGCGGUGGUUCCACCGCCACGGCUUGACCAUGUGGCAAUGAGUAUGCCAUGUGGGCGUGUUAUAAUAUUCGGUGGUUCGAUUGCUGGGCUGCACUCUCCAUCUCAAGUGUUCUUGUUGGUCCCAUCAGAGGAGAAACCGUCUUGGAGGAUUCUAAACGUACCUGGUGAACCUCCGAAGUUUGCUUGGGGUCAUAGUACUUGUGUGGUUGGGGGUACUCGGGUUCUUGUGUUGGGUGGUCACACAGGUGAAGAAUGGGUUCUUAAUGAGUUGCAUGAACUGUGUUUGGCGAGCAGGCAGGCGUAGGCGUGGGCUUUGGUUGCAUAGCAAUCUGAAACCCCAUAUAGGAAACAUUAUGAAAGUUCAAUUUUAAAGAAGCAGAAGAUAUAGAAAUGAUUCAGUAAAUAAAUAUAUAAAACAAGGGAAAAUGUGUAAAAGCCAGUGGCUUAGAAAGGAGUUCAAUUCUGGUUUUCUAUCUCUGAGAGACUGGAGCCUCUACCACUCAGAAAGCUUAAAUCUCGAGCCCACUAAAGAAUUGAUAGGUGAAAUUUGGAGCAUCUGAAGCUCAACAACUCAUUAAAUAAACCACAUAGGAAACACUAGAGACCAUAAACAAGGAAACGAUGUGUUGGGAAUGAUUUUAUAAAGACAAAUGUAUUUUUGGGUGAGUUUAUGAAAAAAAAUAGGUUAAAGAGUUUUAUGUAAAACCAAGACCAUAAGUUUUGUUAAUGGUAAGUAGUUUUGAUAGUAAACCGUAUAGCAAGCGCUCGAGACCAUAAGUUUUGUUAAUAGUAGGUAGUUUUGAUUGGU